rnacentral:piRNA from 1 species
UGGGAAGUAAGACGCUUAACAAAGGGUUGG